rnacentral:rRNA from 1 species
UUCCUACGGGGCGCAGCAGUGAGGAAUAUUGGUCAAUGGUCGGGAGACUGAACCAGCCAAGCCGCGUGAGGGAGGAAGGUACAGAGUAUCGUAAACCUCUUUUGUCAGGGAACAAAGGCGGGGACGUGUCCCCGGAUGAGUGUACCUGAAGAAAAAGCAUCGGCUAACUCCGUGCCAGCAGCCGCGGUAAUACGUAGGGAGCAAGCGUUAUCCGGAUUUACUGGGUGUAAAGGGCGUGUAGGCGGGGAUGCAAGCCAGAAGUGAAAAAUGGGGGCUUAACCCCCAAACUGCUUUUGGAACUGCGG